GUCUACGGCCAUACCACCCUGAACGUGUCCGAUCUCGUCUGGUCUCAGAAGCUAAGCAAGGUCGGGCCUGGUUAGUACUUGGAUGGGAGAAGAAGCCAUUGGGAUUGGGGAGAAAUCUGGGGCAAGAGAGA
rnacentral:rRNA from 1 species